UGCCUAACACAUGCAAGUCGAGCGAUAAGCACCUUCGGGUGUGGAAAGCGGCGAACGGGUGAGUAACACGUGAGGAACCUACCCCGGUCUUCGGGAUAACAGCGGGAAACCGUUGCUAAUACCGGAUAUCCCAUCCCCACCGCAUGGCGGAGAUGGGAAAGAUUUAUCGGACCGGGAUGGCCUCGCGGCCUAUCAGCUAGUUGGUGGGGUAACGGCCUACCAAGGCUACGACGGGUAGCUGGCGUGAGAGCGUGGCCAGCCACACUGGGACUGAGAUACGGCCCAGACUCCUACGGGAGGCAGCAGUGGGGAAUCUUGCACAAUGGGCGAAAGCCUGAUGCAGCGACGCCGCGUGAGGGAUGAAGGCCUUAGGGUUGUAAACCUCUUUCAGCAGGGACGAAGCGAAAGUGACGGUACCUGCAGAAGAAGCCCCGGCUAACUACGUGCCAGCAGCCGCGGUAAUACGUAGGGGGCGAGCGUUGUCCGGAUUUAUUGGGCGUAAAGAGCGCGUAGGUGGUCGGUAAAGUCGGAUGUGAAAGUCCAGGGCUCAACCCUGGGAUGCCAUUCGAUACUUGCUGACUAGAGCAUGGUAGGGGGAUCUGGAAUUCCUGGUGUAGCGGUGAAAUGCGCAGAUAUCAGGAGGAACACCGGUGGCGAAGGCGGGAUCCUGGGCCAUUGCUGACACUGAGGCGCGAAAGCUGGGGGAGCGAACAGGAUUAGAUACCCUGGUAGUCCCAGCCGUAAACGAUGGGUGCUAGGUGUGGGGAGCUAUCGACGCUUUCCGUGCCGCAGCUAACGCAUUAAGCACCCCGCCUGGGGAGUACGGCCGCAAGGCUAAAACUCAAAGGAAUUGACGGGGGCCCGCACAAGCGGCGGAGCAUGUGGCUUAAUUCGAUGCAACGCGAAGAACCUUACCUGGGCUUGACAUCAAGGGAAAAGCCGUAGAGAUACGGCCUCCGUAAGGGCCUCUGACAGGUGGUGCAUGGCUGUCGUCAGCUCGUGCCGUGAGGUGUUGGGUUAAGUCCCGCAACGAGCGCAACCCCCGUCUUUAGUUGCCAGCACGUGAUGGUGGGGACUCUAGAGAGACUGCCGGCGUUGAGCCGGAGGAAGGUGGGGAUGACGUCAAGUCAUCAUGCCCUUUAUGUCCAGGGCUGCACACAUGCUACAAUGCCGGCCACAAUGGGCUGCGACCCCGCGAGGGUGAGCGAAUCCCAAAAAAGCUGGCUAAGUUCGGAUUGCAGUCUGCAACUCGACUGCAUGAAGUUGGAGUCGCUAGUAAUCGCGGAUCAGCAACGCCGCGGUGAAUACGUUCCCGGGCCUUGCACACACCGCCCGUCAC
rnacentral:rRNA from 1 species